rnacentral:lncRNA from 1 species
UUUAGUUCAAUCGAUUUCCCAAUCGAUUGCAACCAAACUUAACUUGAUUGAAAUUCCACACAAUAGAUUGUCCAAUCGAUUGUGUUUGUCACAGGGAAAGUUAUUUUGCAAAUAGUACUUACGCAAUCGAUUUGCCAAUCGAUUGCCCUCAAAACUGGAGUGUCACUGUGACUUGUACAAUCGAUUUGCCAGUCGAUUAGUUUCAAUCAGUUUUCAUUUUGUGAUAUGUACAAUCGAUUUGUCAAUCGAUUAACCUGUAAAUCAGGUUGCCACUGACUUGUUCAAUUUUCAAUUCUAAUUUAGUCAGUCGAUUUCCCAAUCGAUUAUACAAUCACAAACAUAUACUUAUCCUUACACCCUUGUUAUGAAAUCGAUUUCCCAAUCGAUUUACUCAGUGAAUAAUCAACUUUUAUUGAUUUCUUG